GAGGGGAAGGGAGGGCAGGACGGGAGACCCGCGACGCCGGCGACUGGCCGUGCAAGUGGAGAGAAAACUGCACUUCAGGAUGCUGUCACUCAUUUUUGGAAGCCUGCUGUGGUUUCCUCAAAGGUUCCAUGUUUGAGGAAAUAUUAUGUGCUGCUGACCUGAGUUUUGCUGCUACUGGAUGUCAAUGCUGACUUUAUUAAUAUGGUUUAUUAAUAUGGAUCCAAGAAUAUGUUGUUCAUUUGUUCAGGAGAUUGAGUACACCAUGCAUCCUUUUGGUUCUCUCCAAGUACUGUAAGUACUGCAUGGAACUGAUUAUUCAACUAUUUCUCUGGAGUACAUAGACCAGUACUGUGAUCACCUGAGUAAGUCCAUCAAGUGUUAUUCUUUCUCACCUUUUUCUGUCUGUCUCCUAUCACUUUUUGAAGGGUUCCAUGUUGGAGGAAAUAUUCUUUGCUACUCUGCUGUUUGUGUGGAAUAAAUAAUCUCUAAAAAUA